rnacentral:rRNA from 1 species
AUUGAACGCUGGCGGCGUGCUUAACACAUGCAAGUCGAGCGGUAACAGGCGUAGCAAUACGUGCUGACGAGCGGCGAACGGGUGAGUAAUGCUUCGGAAUCUGCCUGGUAGUGGGGAAUAACCAGUCGAAAGACUGGCUAAUGCCGCAUACGACCUUUUUCCGUAUUGGAAUUUGGUGAAAGCGGGGGAUCGCAAGACCUCGCGCUAAUAGAUGAGCCGAAGUCGGAUUAGCUAGUUGGUGAGGUAACGGCUCACCAAGGCGACAAUCCG